GACGUAGGAUGCAAGCGUUGUCCGGAAUCAUUGGGCGUAAAGAGUUCGUAGGCGGCAUGUCAAGUCUGGUGUUAAAGCCCGAGGCUCAACCUCGGUUCGGCACUGGAUACUGACAAGCUGGAGUACGGUAGAGGCAAGGGGAAUUCCCAGUGUAGCGGUGAAAUGCGUAGAUAUUGGGAGGAACACCAGUGGCGUAAGCGCCUUGCUGGGCCGAAACUGACGCUGAGGAACGAAAGCCAGGGGAGCAAAUGGG
rnacentral:rRNA from 1 species